rfam:Acetobacterium wieringae strain DSM 1911 ACWI_contig000042, whole genome shotgun sequence.
AACAGAGUAGACAAGAUGCGUAAAGUGUUAGAGGAUGGGAAGUUGCCUUUAAACGAAAUGAACUCAUUGCGAUAUCUUGUUGCUUCCGCUGGA